UACGUAGGUGGCAAGCGUUGUCCGGAUUUACUGGGCGUAAAGAGCGCGCAGGCGGUCGUUCAAGUCGCGUGUGAAAGCCCCCGGCUCAACUGGGGAGGGUCACGCGAUACUGAUCGACUCGAAGGCAGGAGAGGGUAGUGGAAUUCCCGGUGUAGUGGUGAAAUGCGUAGAUAUCAGGAGGAACACCAAUUGCGAAGGCAGCUCGCUGGGACGUGACUGACGCUGAGACGCGAAAGCGUGGGGAGCAAACAGG
rnacentral:rRNA from 1 species